CAGUAGCCGCGGGAAAACGGAGGGUGCAAGCGUUAAUCGGAAUUACUGGGCGUAAAGCGCACGCAGGCGGUCUGACAAGUCAGAUGUGAAAUCCCCGGGCUUAACCUGGGAACUGCAUUUGAAACUGUCAGGCUGGAGUCUUGUAGAGGGGGGUGGAAUUCCAGGUGUAGCGGUGAAAUGCGUAGAGAUCUGGAGGAAUACCGGUGGCGAAGGCGGCCCCCUGGACAAAGACUGACGCUCAGGUGCGAAAGCGUGGGGAGCAAACAGGAUUAGAUACCCGCGUAGUCCCUGUCUCUUAUAC
rnacentral:rRNA from 1 species